AUGUACGUAAUGUUCGGCCAAGCUUUGUAUCGGUCUGGUCGGUAUGAUGUUGAAGAAGUUGAGCGAGGCAUCACCUACAAAGUUCGGCACGUCGAAGCUGAGAAGCGAGAGAAGUGGGGCCGCAAAAUGCAUGUGGUAAGUGUCCAUGAUGGCGGCGCUAGGUUUACCUGCGAAUGUGGGCUCUUCGAGCACAUGGGGAUGCUUUGUUGCCAUGCUAUCAAGCAGGUCCUAAUUCAUCUGGGGGUGAGAAAAAUACCCAGUUUCCAUGUUCUCAAGAGGUGGAUAGUAGAUGCCCACGACAAUUUGCCACUCCACCUUCUCCAUUACCAAAAGGAUCAAGGCCCUCCGCGGUUAUCCUCCUACAGGCAUACAGCACUACACCUGACCGCUCUCGAGUUUGUGCAGCUAGGGGAUAGCAACGUGGAUGCAUUCGACAGAGCAAUGGCCAUAUUGAUCGCAGGCAAGGCGGAGUUGACUGUUUUGGCACCCAUCAAGGAUGGCAAAAGUUUGGUGGACCAAACUCAAAUCAGGGAUUCAGCCAAUCCCAGUCAGGAUGUGGGAUCAGGUUCCUCACACCCAGACGACAUGUGUUCUCAGAUGUUCAUCUCCACCGAGUGUGGACUUAAUUCUGUUUCAGGGGAAGCUGGCUCAAGCCUCUCACUGUCGACGUUGCUGCCUCCCGAUAGGAAGAAGCAGAAGGGUAGGCCAACCACAGUAAGGAACAAGCCUGGAUAUGAGGUCAAGGACGCGCGGUCGAGGUUUUGUACGGUUUGUAGGGAGAAAGGGCACAAGAGCACGACGUGCCCCCGCCGGGGUGAUCUUCCGAAGAAACCUUGCAAAAUACCUACCUGCGGCAAUUGUGGUGUAGUUGGGCACAAGAAAACAAGUUGCUUCAACCCAGUAUUGCCAUUCGUGAAGAGGCCUCACGACGGUCCAGUUGAGUGA
rnacentral:rRNA from 1 species